rnacentral:misc_RNA from 1 species
GAGCGCAGCAGAGAGGGAGAGA